GUGGGGAAUAUUGCACAAUGGGCGCAAGCCUGAUGCAGCCAUGCCGCGUGUAUGAAGAAGGCCUUCGGGUUGUAAAGUACUUUCAGCGGGGAGGAAGGGAGUAAAGUUAAUACCUUUGCUCAUUGACGUUACCCGCAGAAGAAGCACCGGCUAACUCCGUGCCAGCAGCCGCGGUAAUACGGAGGGUGCAAGCGUUAAUCGGAAUUACUGGGCGUAAAGCGCACGCAGGCGGUUUGUUAAGUCAGAUGUGAAAUCCCCGGGCUCAACCUGGGAACUGCAUCUGAUACUGGCAAGCUUGAGUCUCGUAGAGGGGGGUAGAAUUCCAGGUGUAGCGGUGAAAUGCGUAGAGAUCUGGAGGAAUACCGGUGGCGAAGGCGGCCCCCUGGACGAAGACUGACGCUCAGGUGCGAAAGCGUGGGGAGCAAACAGG
rnacentral:rRNA from 3 species